UCUGUCCUGGGGGAAAUUGUUCUGCAAAUAGCAUUUUGAAGCCUGGACAUGCUUCAUCUCUGUUGUCUUUGAUUCUUCCCUGUUGCCUCCUUGGGGUUAAUAUGAGGAAUCAUAGGGCAGGAACCACCCUUUAUCCUCAGCAACCCCAUUUUAAACUAAUCCCAGGCAACACCAAAAUGCUAACAGCCAGCAUCUGUAGCCUGUUGCUCUUUAGGAGAUGAGACAGCUGCUUUGACCCUGAAAACACACCCCACAGCCACCACAGCUGGUCAGAAGCCCAAGGAGCUCUUGCACCAGGAGUAGAGCCAGCAUUCAAGUAGCAGGACACCCAUCCUGAUAUGAAACUGUCCUUAGAGCAGAGGAACCGGAGCCUGACACUCACACUCCAGCCUUGACACUGAACCGUCUGGCCUGAGUCACAGAGUCCUCUCGUGGGUGCUGGGAUCAAACCUGGAGCUGUGUUAUAUGACCCGGAGAUUAUAGUCCAAACCCCAAUGAGAGCUGGUUGUCCCUGACUUGCAGGGUUGCACACUCCAUUGCUUAGGUGCUGUGACUCAUGUUUAUGGACUGGGAUUGCUGGUGUCCUCCUCUGUCUGCCCUCAUCCACAUCACAGUUUAAUCUGCAGUCCCAGACCCAGGCUGAGUAAGUACUUGUUAUUCCUAUAAACUAAUGCAAAACCAAAUCAGAUUGACAACAGCAAUUGCCUAGACAAUUUCUAGCAUAACUGAAGAAGCUAAAACCAGCUGAAGCAAAGACAAGCCUGGAGAUAUCCUGAGAUCCUCCACUGUCAGAUCAAUGCAACGCCCUGUGGUUUAUCACUAGUUACAGCAAAAUAUCUCCUGGGCUACAGUGAGUCCUCUGGGUUUUUCAACACCGCAGGAUCUAGAAGAAACGCAGUAGGUGGCUGGCGCUGGUGUGCUGGAGGGGCAGAUGUGUGAUGGGAUGGGGAGUGUGGUGCAGGACACAGGUUGGGACUGAUGACGCCAGUUUUCUGCCAGCUGCAGCCCAGGCUUGUUGCUGCUCAUCAGAGCUGAUCGCUGUGCCUCUGUAUCCUGCUUUUGGUGGGAACUGCGAGGAUUAGCUGGUGGCUUAGACUUGUGCUGCUGCUGGCGCUUAAAAGUUUGCAAUGUUCUGUGGAGCUGCCGUGAGGCUGCAGCUGUCCUCCAGCUGUGGGAUUUCCUUGUGCAGAUGCCACCUCUGAAUCCAGCUGCCAAGCUCAUGGGGAGCAAAGGAAGGUCUCAGAGUGUCCUGGAGGAGUCCUCUACCAGGUGAAAUCAUCGCCAGCCCAGUCUGCUUUAACCUGCCAAAGAGCUGUUUGCACCUUAAAACCAACAACGCCCGUGGCAAGUCCUGCCUUUAGCAAACACACAUCCUCCCACAUUAUGUGCAUGCUGGAGCCUUUCCUCAGCUUUAUCCAUGGCUGGCAGUAAACCCUUUGCAGAAGAAGCAAAACCUGUUUCUUUAGGGGAGAUAUGAACAUGUGUGGGCUGCGACACCAGUUCCAGCAGCCAAGGUGCCCGGUGGCCUCAGGCAAUGGCAGUUCCUGGAAUCAAAAUUUAUUGUAAGGCUCUGCCCAGCCUGAGAAAACACUGUUAGGGAAGAGGCCAGAAAACAAGCUAACAGAUGCCGCAGGUUCUGUUCUGGCUGGAUCAAAGAGACUAGUUUGAGGUCUUAAUUUAUAUUUUAUUUCCCUGAAUUAUCUUCUAUUACAAUAUAAGCAAAAGGCUGAAGUUACAGGCUGGGAGUUUCACCAAAUGUUUUUAAAAUGCACCAUAUGGAAACUUGGGGAGUUUUCACUCUUAAGAAUAAAAUCCUAAUUGGAACUGUUGGAAUUUCCCACAGCCCAGGUUUCUACCAGCCUUAAGAAAAUUCUGGGGGAAAAAAGGAUUUCAGGGGCAGCCACACUGUCUCAGUCCUAAUCUUAUCUUCAUCUCUCAGUUGAGGGAGUCGGUAGGGAAAACAUAUUUUGUUCUACCGGGAUGAAAGAGAAAGUAAAGGUGCAGGAUGUGACUGCUGUGUUGCUAUGUCCGCUUUAGGCCUGGCUUUGUGCUGGUGCCAGUAGGCGACACAGCUCUCCUGGGUGCUGCAGAUCUGGGGACCUCAUACUCCUGCUCUCAGCA